UAGAAUGAAAGUUUCGCCAAUC
rnacentral:miRNA from 8 species